GACAGAGGAUGCAAGCGUUAUCCGGAAUGAUUGGGCGUAAAGCGUCUGUAGGUGGCUUUUCAAGUCCGCCGUCAAAUCCCAGGGCUCAACCCUGGACAGGCGGUGGAAACUACCAAGCUGGAGUACGGUAGGGGCAGAGGGAAUUUCCGGUGGAGCGGUGAAAUGCAUAGAUAUCGUCAAGAACACCUAUAGCGAAGGCAGCUUACUGGGCUGUAACUGACGCUGAGGCACGAAAGUGUGGGGAUCAAACAGG
rnacentral:rRNA from 1 species